UACAGAGGUGGCAAGCGUUGUUCGGAAUUACUGGGCGUAAAGGGCGCGUAGGCGGCCAUCUAAGUCAGACGUGAAAUCCCCCGGCUUAACCUGGGAACUGCGUCUGAUACUGGGAGGCUUGAGUAUGGGAGAGGGAUGUAGAAUUCCAGGUGUAGCGGUGAAAUGCGUAGAUAUCUGGAGGAAUACCGGUGGCGAAGGCGGCAUCCUGGACCAUAACUGACGCUGAGGCGCGAAAGCUAGGGGAGCAAACGGG
rnacentral:rRNA from 1 species